UGCAAAAUCCCGUGAACCAUCGAGUCUUUAAACGCAAGUUGCGCCGAGGCCACCCGGCCGAGGGCACGCCUGCCUGGGCGUCACGCACCGCACUGCCCGCACCCGGCCGUGGGUGAGGGCGGAGAUUGGCCGAAUGUGCUCCUCGGGGCAUGGCGGGUUGAAAGCUAUACCUCGAUUGCCCCCGUCCGGGCGUCGGCACGGUGUUUGGUGGUCACUAGGGCCCUGGGAGCUGAUGUGAUUGGACGCCGUGCACAUCGCCUCCCAGGGCACCAAGGCACCCCAAAUUGCGAUGCGACCCCAGGUCAGGAGGGGACACCCGCCGAGUUUAAGCAUAUAAAUAAGCAAAGGAAAAGAAACUUACAAGGAUUCCCCUAAUAACGGCGAGCAAACAGGGAAGUGCCCAACAUGAGAAUCGAGUGUUCUCACUAGUCGAAUUGUACUCUGAAAAAGCAUCCAAGAAAA
rnacentral:rRNA from 1 species